rnacentral:rRNA from 1 species
UGAGUAACACGCUAUCCAACCUGCCGAUAACUCGGGGAUAGCCUUUCGAAAGAAAGAUUAAUAUCCGAUAGUAUAUUAAAACCGCAUGGUUUUACUAUUAAAGAAUUUCGGUUAUCGAUGGGGAUGCGUUCCAUUAGUUUGUUGGCGGGGUAACGGCCCACCAAGACUACGAUGGAUAGGGGUUCUGAGAGGAAGGUCCCCCACAUUGGAACUGAGACACGGUCCAAACUCCUACGGGAGGCAGCAGUGAGGAAUAUUGGUCAAUGGACGAGAGUCUGAACCAGCCAAGUAGCGUGAAGGAUGACUGNCCCUAUGGGUUGUAAACUUCUUUUAUAUGGGAAUAAAGUAUUCCACGUGUGGGGAUUUUGUAUGUACCAUAUGAAUAAAGGAUCGGCUAACUCCGUGCCAGCAGCCGCGGUAAUACGGAGGAUCCGAGCGUUAUCCGGAUUUAUUGGGUUUAAAGGGAGCGUAGGUGGAUUGUUAAGUCAGUUGUGAAAGUUUGCGGCUCAACCGUAAAAUUGCAGUUGAAACUGGCAGUCUUGAGUACAGUAGAGGUGGGCGGAAUUCGUGGUGUAGCGGUGAAAUGCUUAGAUAUCACGAAGAACUCCGAUUGCGAAGGCAGCUCACUAGACUGCAACUGACACUGAUGCUCGAAAGUGUGGGUAUCAAACAGGAUUAGAUACCCUGGUAGUCCACACAGUAAACGAUGAAUACUCGCUGUUUGCGAUAUACAGUAAGCGGCCAAGCGAAAGCAUUAAGUAUUCCACCUGGGGAGUACGCCGGCAACGGUGAAACUCAAAGGAAUUGACGGGGGCCCGCACAAGCGGAGGAACAUGUGGNUUUAAUUCGAUGAUACGCGAGGAACCUUACCCGGGGCUUAAAUUGCAUUUGAAUAAUCUGGAAACAGGUUAGCCGCAAGGCAAAUGUGAAGGUGCUGCAUGGUUGUCGUCAGCUCGUGCCGUGAGGUGUCGGCUUAAGUGCCAUAACGAGCGCAACCCUUAUCUUUAGUUACUAACAGGUCAUGCUGAGGACUCUAGAGAGACUGCCGUCGUAAGAUGUGAGGAAGGUGGGGAUGACGUCAAAUCAGCACGGCCCUUACGUCCGGGGCUACACACGUGUUACAAUGGGGGGUACAGAAGGCAGCUACCUGGCGACAGGAUGCUAAUCCCAAAAACCUCUCUCAGUUCGGAUCGAAGUCUGCAACCCGACUUCGUGAAGCUGGAUUCGCUAGUAAUCGCGCAUCAGCCAUGGCGCGGUGAAUACGUUCCCGGGCCUUGUACACACCGCCCGUCAAGCCAUGAAAGCCGGGGGUACCUGAAGUACGUAACCGCAAGGAGCUCCUAGG